AGUGAACGCUGGCGGUAGGCCUAACACAUGUAAGUCGAACGGCAGCACAGUAAGGGCUUGCUCUUACGGGUGGCGAGUGGCGGACGGGUGAGGAAUACAUCGGAAUCUACUUUUUCGUGGGGGAUAACGUAGGGAAACUUACGCUAAUACCGCAUACGACCUACGGGUGAAAGCAGGGGAUCUUCGGACCUUGCGCGAUUGAAUGAGCCGAUGUCGGAUUAGCUAGUUGGCGGGGUAAAGGCCCACCAAGGCGACGAUCCGUAGCUGGUCUGAGAGGAUGAUCAGCCACACUGGAACUGAGACACGGUCCAGACUCCUACGGGAGGCAGCAGUGGGGAAUAUUGGACAAUGGGCGCAAGCCUGAUCCAGCCAUACCGCGUGGGUGAAGAAGGCCUUCGGGUUGUAAAGCCCUUUUGUUGGGAAAGAAAAGCAGCAGGUUAAUACCCCGCUGUUCUGACGGUACCCAAAGAAUAAGCACCGGCUAACUUCGUG
rnacentral:rRNA from 1 species